UACGGAGGGAGCUAGCGUUGUUCGGAAUUACUGGGCGUAAAGCGCGCGUAGGCGGCUUUGUAAGUUAGAGGUGAAAGCCCGGAGCUCAACUCCGGAACUGCCUUUAAGACUGCAUCGCUUGAAUCCGGGAGAGGUGAGUGGAACUCCGAGUGUAGAGGUGAAAUUCGUAGAUAUUCGGAAGAACACCAGUGGCGAAGGCGGCUCACUGGACCGGCAUUGACGCUGAGGUGCGAAAGCGUGGGGAGCAAACAGG
rnacentral:rRNA from 1 species